CCUACGGGAGGCAGCAGUGAGGAAUAUUGGUCAAUGGCCGAGAGGCUGAACCAGCCAAGUAGCGUGAAGGAAGAAUGUCCUAUGGAUUGUAAACCUCUUUUGUCAGGGAGCAAAGUCACCCACGUGUGGGUUUUUGUGAGUACCUUAUGAAAAAGCAUCGGCUAACUCCGUGCCAGCAGCCGCGGUAAUACGGAGGAUGCGAGCGUUAUCCGGAUUUAUUGGGUUUAAAGGGUGCGUAGGCGGGUUAUCAAGUCAGCGGGAAAAUCUUGGAGCUCAACUCCAUCCAGCCGUUGAAACUGAUGACCUUGAGUGGGCGUGAAGUAGGCGGAAUGCGUGGUGUAGCGGUGAAAUGCAUAGAUAUCACGCAGAACUCCGAUUGCGAAGGCAGCAUACCGGCGCCCGACUGACGCUGAAGCACGAAAGCGUGGGUAUCGAACAGGAUUAGAUACCCUUGUAGUC
rnacentral:rRNA from 1 species